CGGUGUUUAACUGGCGUGAUGUGGGACGUCCUACCGGUGGGCUUAGCCUCGCGAGGGGCGGCCCAACUAAUAUCCCGUCGCGGUGCUCUUUACUGAGUGUCGAGUCGGGCCGGUACGUUUACUUUGAACAAAUUAGAGUGCUUAAAGCAGGCUAUCCUCGCCUGAAUACUGCGUGCAUGGAAUAAUGGAAUAGGACCUCGGUUCUAUUUUGUUGGUUUUCGGAACCCCGAGGUAAUGAUUAAUAGGGACAGAUGGGGGCAUUCGUAUUGCGACGUUAGAGGUGAAAUUCUUGGAUCGUCGCAAGACGGGCAGAAGCGAAAGCAUUUGCCAAAAAUGUUUUCAUUAAUCAAGAACGAAAGUUAGAGGUUCGAAGGCGAUCAGAUACCGCCCCUAGUUCUAACCAUAAACGAUGCCAGCUAGCGAUCCGCCGAAGUUCCUCCGAUGACUCGGCGGGCAGCUUCCGGGAAACCAAAGCUUUUGGGUUCCGGGGGAAGUAUGGUUGCAAAGCUGAAACUUAAAGGAAUUGACGGAAGGGCACCACCAGGAGUGGAGCCUGCGGCUUAAUUUGACUCAACACGGGAAACCUCACCAGGCCCAGACACCGGAAGGAUUGACAGAUUGAUAGCUCUUUCUUGAUUCGGUGGGUGGGUGGUGCAUGGCCGUUCUUAGUUGGUGGAGCGAUUUGUCUGGUUAAUUCCGAUAACGAACGAGACUCUAGCCUGCUAAAUAGGCGUACCUUAUGGUAUCGCGAAGGCCCCCGGCUUCGGCCGGUGGGUUUUUACUACCAACGUACAAACAAAUCUUCUUAGAGGGACAGGCGG
rnacentral:rRNA from 1 species